GAUGAACGCUGGCGGUCUGCUUAACACAUGCAAGUCGAACGGACCCUUCGGGGUUAGUGGCGGACGGGUGAGUAACACGUGGGAACCUACCUAUCGGUACGGAAUAACAGAGGGAAACUUCUGCUAAUACCGUAUACGUCCUUUGGGAGAAAGUUUUUCGUCCGAUAGAUGGGCCCGGCGUUCGAUUAGAUAGUUGGUGGGGUAACGGCCUACCAAGUCAACGAUCGAUAGCUGGUUUUGAGAGGAUGAUCAGCCACACUGGGACUGAGACACGGCCCAGACUCCUACGGGAGGCAGCAGUGAGGAAUAUUUGGGCAAUGGGGGAAACCCCUGAUCCAGCCAUGCCGCGUGCGCGAUGAAGGCCUUAGGGUU
rnacentral:rRNA from 1 species